GUGCCGUGAGGUGUUGGGUUAAGUCCCGCAACGAGCGCAACCCUUGUCCUUAGUUGCCCCCGGGUAACGCCGUGGCACUCUAAGGAAACUGCCCGUGUUAAGCGGGAGGAAGGUGGGGACGACGUCAAGUCAUCAUGGCCUUUAUACCCAGGGCCACACACGUGCUACAAUGGGUGGUACAAAGUGUUGCGAAUGCGCAAGCUGGAGCUAAUCGCAAAAAACCAUCCUCAGUUCGGAUCGAAGUCUGCAACUCGACUUCGUGAAGCUGGAAUCGCUAGUAAUCGCGGAUCAGCAUGCCGCGGUGAAUACGUUCCCGGGCCU
rnacentral:rRNA from 1 species